UGCGGGGUAGUGCAACGGGAGCAUGCAGGUCUCAUAAGCCUGGUGAUGCGGGUUCGAAUCCCGCCCCCGCCUCUA
rnacentral:tRNA from 1 species